GAGUUUGAUCCUGGCUCAGAACGAACGCUGGCGGUGCGUUUUAAGCAUGCAAGUCGAACGGUAAAAAGAGAGCUUGCUCUCUUUGAGAGUGGCGGACUGGUGAGUAACGCGUGGAUGAUCUACCUUUGAGAUGGGGAUAGCUUCUAGAAAUAGGAGAUAAUACCGAAUAACCUUGUUGUGUUUUGAUGUAACAAGAAAAGGAGCGUCAGCUCCGCUCGAAGAUGAGUCUGCGUCCCAUUAGCUAGUUGGUAGGGUAAAGGCUUACCAAGGCGACGAUGGGUAUCCGGCCUGAGAGGGUGAACGGACACAUUGGGACUGAGAUACGGCCCAAACUCCUACGGGAGGCAGCAGCUGAGAAUCUUCCGCAAUGGACGAAAGUCUGACGGAGCGACACCGCGUGAACGAUGAAGGCCGGAAGGUUGUAAAGUUCUUUUGCAGACAAAGAAUAAGGAUAGAAGGAAAUGACUAUCUGAUGACGGUAGUAUGCGAAUAAGCCCC
rnacentral:rRNA from 1 species